GCUGGGCGUGGUGGUGGGCGCCUGUAAUCCCAGUUACUCAGGAGGCUGAGGCAGGAGAAUCGCUUGAACCCAGGAGGCGGAGGUUGUAGUGAGCCGAGGUCACACCACCGCACUCCAUCCUGGGCAAUAGAGUAAGACUCUGUCUCCAGAACAAACAAACAAACCUUUCUUUUUUUCUUUUUUUUUUUGAGACGGAGUUUUGCUCUUGUUACCCAGGCUGGAGUGCAAUGGUGCGAUCUCAGCUCACUGCAACCUCCGCCUCCUGGGUUCAGGCAAUUAUCCUGCCUCAG
rnacentral:sRNA from 1 species